rnacentral:misc_RNA from 1 species
AGUCGUAACAAGGUUUCCGUAGGUGAACCUGCGGAAGGAUCAUUACUGAGUGCGGGCUGCCUUCGGGCGCCCAACCUCCCACCCGUGACUACCUAACACUGUUGCUUCGGCGGGGAGCCCUCUCGGGGGCGAGCCGCCGGGGACUACUGAACUUCAUGCCUGAGAGUGAUGCAGUCUGAGUCUGAAUAUAAAAUCAGUCAAAACUUUCAACAAUGGAUCUCUUGGUUCCGGCAUCGAUGAAGAACGCAGCGAACUGCGAUAAGUAAUGUGAAUUGCAGAAUUCAGUGAAUCAUCGAGUCUUUGAACGCACAUUGCGCCCCCUGGCAUUCCGGGGGGCAUGCCUGUCCGAGCGUCAUUGCUGCCCAUCAAGCCCGGCUUGUGUGUUGGGUCGUCGUCCCCCCCGGGGGACGGGCCCGAAAGGCAGCGGCGGCACCGUGUCCGGUCCUCGAGCGUAUGGGGCUUUGUCACCCGCUCGAUUUAGGGCCGGCCGGGCGCCAGCCGACGUCCAACCAUUUUUCUUCAGGUUGACCUCGGAUCAGGUAGGGAUACCCGCUGAACUUAAGCAUAUCAAUAAGCGGAGGA